AACUUACUCCCUCCGUCCCAAAAUUCUUGUCUUAAAUUUGUCUAAAUACGGAUGUAUCGAGACACGUUUUAGUAUUAGAUACAUCCGUAUCUAGACUAAUCUAAGACAAGAAUUUUGAGACGGAGGGAGUACUAG
rnacentral:pre_miRNA from 1 species